rnacentral:tRNA from 1 species
GGCUCCGUAGUGAAGUUCAUAGUGAGUUGCAAGCUCAUUGAUGUGCAUAGUCAUGCGCCGGGGCCU